rnacentral:lncRNA from 1 species
GAGGACACAUAACCCUAGGGAGAUUCCUAGGAGGGGGCCGUCAGUCUCAUAUUUUCUUUUUGGUGCUGCAACGUUUUUGGAAACAAUGUUGAUGCUAGUGCUUGAUUUUGGAUGAAUGAAGAAUCAAUUGUUUACUUUUUAUUUUAGUGCACACGUUACUGGAAGAAAGAAAAUGCUUCUCUUAAUUUUCCAUUUCCAUUGAGCUUGUAUUGUGCAUUUGCCGAGACAAGCAUUGUCCUGCAAUGAUUCAUUUCUUUUUUUUUUAUUUGCUGCUUCAUUGAUUUAUGCGAAGAUAAGCACUUGGUACUUACAACAUUUACUUUGCUUUGAAUGAGUAAGAAUGUAGAUUACGUUGAUGGGAUGUGGCAGCUGAAUGAUAUCAAACUUUUCUCUUAUUUUCUUUUAGCAUGAAGAGUGAUGGCCUAGGUAGAAGUAGAUGUGUAGGUGUGUGCAUUGGAUGCUGGAAGGAGAGUAACCUUUUAUUUAUUUUUAUGGCAUGAUGAAUGGAUUAGAUAGGACUAGAUAGGUGUGCGGUGCAAGAUAGGAUUUCUAGGAUUUCUUUUAGAGCAAUUCAUUUCUUCUACUUGGAUGAGGUACGGUGAUGGUAUUGGAAAUUUGAGGAGCCGCCACUUGGAGAGGACAUUUCUUUUUAUCACAUUAUAUUCUUGGAGAAAGGGACACCCACUGCCGCACUCAAUUUUGAAGUUGUCUUUGAAUGUUUAUCUACGUUAAGCUCAUUUGGGGAUUUGCUAAUUGCCCUUUUUGUUUUUUAAG